rnacentral:rRNA from 1 species
CAUUAUGCCUAACUCUAAACAUUGAUAGCAAGCUACAUCCGCUAUCCGCCUGGGAACUACAAGCAUCAGCUUCAAACCCAAAGGACUUGGCGGUGCUUCAGAUCCCCCUAGAGGAGCCUGUUCUAGAACCGAUGAUCCCCGUUUAACCUCACCUCUAUCUUGUUCCUAUCCCGCCUAUAUAUCUCCGUCGCCAACUUACCCUGUGAAGGAUUUUGAAGUAAGUCAAACCGGUGGACACCCACCCCUAACGUCAGGUCGAGAUGUAGCUUAUGAAGAGGAAAGAAAUGGGCUACAUUCCCUGGUUACAGGGAAUACGAACGAUAGAUUGAAAUCUCUAUCUGAAGGUGGAUUUAGUAGUAAGCAGAAAAUAGAGCGUCCUGCUGAAACCGGCCCUGAAGCGCGCACACACCGCCCGUCACUCUCCCCAUGCAUAAACUUUUUAAACAUGAUUAACUUACUACUUGCUCAAGGGGAGGCAAGUCGUAA